GUAGUAUUCCCUUCGUCCCAAAAUUCUUGUCUUACAUUUGUUUAGAUACGGAUGUAUCUAACACUAAAAUGUAACUAGAUACAUCCGUAUUUAGACAAAUUUAAGACAAGAAUUUUGGGAAGGAGGGAGUACAAA
rnacentral:pre_miRNA from 1 species